rnacentral:rRNA from 1 species
UACAGAGGGUGCGAGCGUUGUUCGGAAUUAUUGGGCGUAAAGAGCUCGUAGGCGGUUCGUCACGUCGGCUGUGAAAACCUGAGGCUCAACCUCAGGCCUGCAGUCGAUACGGGCGGACUUGAGUACUGCAGGGGAGACUGGAAUUCCUGGUGUAGCGGUGAAAUGCGCAGAUAUCAGGAGGAACACCGGUGGCGAAGGCGGCUCUCUGGGCCUUACCUGACGCUGAGGAGCGAAAGCGUGGGUAGCGAACAGG